rnacentral:rRNA from 1 species
GGGUGAGUAACACGUGGGUAACCUGCCCUAAAGUCUGGGAUACCACUUGGAAACAGGUGCUAAUACCGGAUAACAACAAUAGCUGCAUGGCUAUUGCUUAAAAGGCGGCGAAAGCUGUCGCUAAAGGAUGGACCCGCGGUGCAUUAGCUAGUUGGUAAGGUAAUGGCUUACCAAGGCGACGAUGCAUAGCCGAGUUGAGAGACUGAUCGGCCACAUUGGGACUGAGACACGGCCCAAACUCCUACGGGAGGCAGCAGUAGGGAAUCUUCCACAAUGGGCGAAAGCCUGAUGGAGCAACGCCGCGUGAGUGAAGAAGGUUUUCGGAUCGUAAAGCUCUGUUGUUGGUGAAGAAGGAUAGAGGUAGUAACUGGCCCCUAUUUGACGGUAAUCAACCAGAAAGUCACGGCUAACUACGUGCCAGCAGCCGCGGUAAUACGUAGGUGGCAAGCGUUGUCCGGAUUUAUAGGGCGUAAAGCGAGCGCAGGCGGAAAGAUAAGUCUGAUGUGAAAGCCCCCGGCUUAACCGAGGAAUUGCAUCGGAAACUGUGUUUCUUGAGUGCAGAAGAGGAGAGUGGAACUCCAUGUGUAGCGGUGGAAUGCGUAGAUAUGUGGAAGAACACCAGUGGCGAAGGCGGCUCUCUGGUCUGUAACUGACGCUGAGGCUCGAAAGCAUGGGUAGCGAACAGGAUUAGAUACCCUGGUAGUCCAUGCCGUAAACGAU